CCUACGGGUGGCAGCAGUGAGGAAUAUUGGUCAAUGGGCGGAAGCCUGAACCAGCCAAGUAGCGUGCGGGAUGAAGGCCCUACGGGUCGUAAACCGCUUUUGCACGGGGAUAACACCCUCCACUUGUGGAGGUCUGCAGGUACCGUGCGAAUAAGGGCCGGCUAAUUCCGUGCCAGCAGCCGCGGUAAUACGGAAGGCCCGAGCGUUAUCCGGAUUUAUUGGGUUUAAGGGGUGCGCAGGCGGAAGCGGCAAGUCAGCGGUAAACUUGCGGGGCUCAACCUCGCCGAGCCGUUGAAACUGCUCUGCUAGAGUGGGCGAGAGGUAUGCGGAAUGCGUGGUGUAGCGGUGAAAUGCAUAGAUAUCACGCAGAACUCCGAUUGCGAAGGCAGCAUACCGGCGCCCAACUGACGCUCAUGCACGAAAGCGUGGGUAUCGAACAGGAUUAGAUACCCGGGUAGUC
rnacentral:rRNA from 1 species